rnacentral:tRNA from 1 species
GGUGAGUAUAAUUCAGUUGGUUAGAAUGAUAGAUUGUGGAUCUAUAAGUCGCAAGUUCGAGUCUUGUUACUCACCC